AGUACGGCCGCAAGGUUAAAACUCAAAUGAAUUGACGGGGACCCGCACAAGCGGUGGAUGAUGUGGUUUAAUUCGAUGCAACGCGAAAAACCUUACCUACCCUUGACAUGUCUGGAAUCCUGAAGAGAUUUGGGAGUGCUCGAAAGAGAGCCAGAACACAGGUGCUGCAUGGCCGUCGUCAGCUCGUGUCGUGAGAUGUUGGGUUAAGUCCCGCAACGAGCGCAACCCUUGUCAUUAGUUGCUACGAAAGGGCACUCUAAUGAGACUGCCGGUGACAAACCGGAGGAAGGUGGGGAUGACGUCAGGUCCUCAUGGCCCUUAUGGGUAGGGCUACACACGUCAUACAAUGGCCGGUACAGAGGGCUGCCAACCCGCGAGGGGGAGCCAAUCCCAGAAAACCGGUCGUAGUCCGGAUCGCAGUCUGCAACUCGACUGCGUGAAGUCGGAAUCGCUAGUAAUCGCGGAUCAGCUUGCCGCGGUGAAUACGUUCCCGGGUCUUG
rnacentral:rRNA from 1 species